rnacentral:rRNA from 1 species
GAUGAACGCUAGCGGGAGGCUUAACACAUGCAAGUCGAGGGGCAGCAUAGGGUAGCAAUACUCUGAUGGCGACCGGCAAACGGGUGAGUAACGCGUAUGCAACCUACCCUGUACAGGGGGAUAACCCGGAGAAAUUCGGACUAAUAUCCCGUAAUAAUAUCCGGAGGCAUCUUUGGAUAUUUAAAGUUCCGACGGUACGGGAUGGGCAUGCGUAACAUUAACUGGUUGGUAAGGUAACGGCUUACCAAGGCUAUGAUGUUUAGGGGUCCUGGAGAGGGUGGUCCCCCACACUGGUACUGAGACACGGACCAGACUCCUACGGGAGGCAGCAGUGAGGAAUAUUGGUCAAUGGGCGCAAGCCUGAACCAGCCAUCCCGCGUGCAGGAAGACGGCCCUAUGGGUUGUAAACUGCUUUUCCAGGGAGAGAAACUUACGCACGUGUUGCGUGACUGACGGUACCCUGGGAAUAAGCAUCGGCUAACUCCGUG